rnacentral:misc_RNA from 1 species
AAGAAGAAAUAUUUCUCAGAUACUUGCAAAUACCGAUCAAACCAUCAAUUCUCUUCUAUGAUCUUCUCCGAUCUACUGAAUCCCAAACACAAGUCUUGCACAUAAGAAGCAAAUCAUACACGGACCGAUAUCAAAUUAUCUAAGAAAUCAACUGAGCAACGCAUGAAACGAAACCGAUACAAUAACAUACAGAGAGUAUAUCUUAGUUAGGGGAUUCGCAGAAGAAACCAAGAAGAAAAACGUUACCAAAUACACCUCCACACCGUCCGACACCCAACCCAAG